rnacentral:tRNA from 1 species
GCCCAGGUGGUGGAAUUGGUAGACACGCUACUUUGAGGGGGUAGUCGCCAUAGGCGGUGCAAGUUCAAGUCUUGUCCUGGGCA